UAUAUUAAAAAAAAAAAAAAAGAAAGAGGAGAUAAAACGUCGUAGGGCAAUUUUUCACCGUACCAACCGAAACUGUGCCGUCACCUUUCUGGGGCUCCGGUUAUCUCACUGGACUUCAUAUCUCCUUUGUUAGCUUCAGCUAUGACAAACCAAAGAUUCAUUUCAUAAAUCUUAAUCUUACAUUCACAAACAUUAAAAGAAGCAUCUAAUGAUGUUGUUAACAAUCAGACAAGCAAGCCAAAAAUCAAGAACCUUGAAGAACACCCAUUUAUUCUAUCUUUUUUACUCCACUCAUACAAUUCCUCCACCAAGACAGCCAAUUUCUGCAUACCCUUUCUUACCCUUUUCUUCUAAUGUAUUGUCAACUUCAAGAAUCAAUGAAUUACAGCCUAAAGAUGUUGUUUUAUCCUUUAAAGAUUGGUUUAUGAGUAGAAAAAACCCUGUUUUUGAUCGGAUCUUUGAGAUUUUAAGGACUCAAGAUGAUGUUACAGCUGAUAUAGCAUUGUCUAGAUUCAAUCUUAGAUUAUCUGAGUCAUUGGUUCUUGAUGUGUUGAAUUAUGAGAAAAAUAAGGAUGUUUUGUCUUGUUUGAAGUUCUUUGAUUGGGCUGGUAGACAACCUGGUUUUCAUCAUACUCGUGCUACUUUUAAUACCAUUUUCAAGAUUUUGUCUAAGGAAAAGUUGAUGUCUUUAAUGGUUGAGUUCUUGGAUAAGUAUAUGAAGCAAAGGUAUUUCCAUAAAGCUAGGUUUUAUAAUACUUUGGUGAUUGGUUACGCGGUGGCGGGGAAGCCUGAGCUCGCGCUACAAUUGUUUGGUAGAAUGCGGUUUCAGGGUGUCGAUUUGGAUGCAUUUGCUUAUCAUGUGUUGCUUAAUGCAUUGGUGGAAGAUGGUUUUUAUGAUGGCUUUGAGAUGGUGUUGAAACAGAUUAAGUUUAGAGGUUUUGAGGAUGCGAUAACGCAUGCUAUAUUCGUUAAGAGUCUUUGCCAGCAAACGGAGCUGGAUCGAGCUGAGGAGUAUCUUAGAGGGUUGUUGAGCAAUGGAGGGGUAGGAUUGAGUGGGAUUGUUGUGGCUAAUCUUGUCGAUGCUUUGUGUAAAAAUAAGGAAUUUAAGAGAGCUGCAAGUUUGGUGCAGGAUUUUAGAGAGUCUGGUUUGGUUCCGAUGGAACAAGCGUAUAGUGUCUGGAUUAAGGAUCUUGCUCAGGCUGGGGAGCUAACUGAGGCAGUUGAAUUUUUGAAAGGGAAGAAACUGGCUGAUGGGUAUGUUCCUGAUGUUUUUCGCUAUAAUAGCUUAGUGUGUCGGCUUUUAAGAGAAAAUAGGCUAGAGGAGGUUUAUGACUUGUUGAUGGAUAUGAAGGAUCAAGAUAUAAUACCUGAUGAUGUUACCAUGAAUGUAACUUUGUGCUUCUUCUGCAAGGUGGGUAUGGCAGAUGUUGCCCUCGAGUUGUAUGACUCGAGAUCAGAAUUUGGCCUGUCUGUAAGUAGUAUGACCUAUAACUAUCUUAUAAAUACUCUAUUAGGUGAUGCAAGUGUUGACGAAGCGUAUCUCGUGUUGAAGAAUGCCAUUCAACAAGGCUUUUUCCCUGGUAGAAGGACAUUUUCAAUUAUUGCUGAUGCUCUAUGCCGAGAGGGGAAGCUUGACAGAGUGAAAGAGUUGGUUCUUGCUUCUCUAGACCGGAAUUGUAUGCCCAGUGACACAAUCUAUAACAAGUUCAUAUCAGCCUUAUGUAGGGCCAGCAGGGUGGAAGAUGGAUACAUGGUACACGGAGAGCUAAGCAGAUUGGAUAAGGUUAGUAGCAGGAGUACUUAUUUUGACUUGAUUAGUGGCUUUAACAAGUCAAGUAGGGGAGAUAUUGCCGCAAGAUUGUUAAUAGAAAUGCAAGAAAAAGGUCAUAGUCCAGACCGGAGAUUGUACAGGGCGGUUAUUUGUUGUUUAUGUCAAAUGGAGGAUCCAGAGAAGCUAUUUUACAGUUUAUUAGAGGUUCAGUUGUCUCGGCAUGAACCUAGCUGCCUUGUUUAUAAUUACUUCAUUGAUGGAGCUGGUCAUGCUGGAAAACCUGAGCUGGCCAGAGAUGUAUAUGAAAUGAUGAAAAGAAAUGGUAUCACACCAAAUUUGCAGUCUGACAUAUUAAUGUUGCAAAGUUAUUUAAAAGCUGGAAAAAUUGCUGAUGCGUUAAAUUACUUCCGUGACUUGUCCAAUAGAAGAAAUCUAGGAAGAAAACUAUGGAACACCAUAGUUGUUGGUCUUUGUAAAGCUAACAAGCCCGAAAAUGCAUGGGACAUGUUCUGGGAGAUGAGGUCAACUCAUUUGAGGCCAAGCAUGGAAUGUUACGAGGAACUUGUUAAAUUGCUUUGCGCACGGAGAGAUUAUUAUAAGGCUAUUCUUCUGGUAGAAGACUUGAUGCAAGUUGGUCGUCGGGUUUCAUCCUUCAUAGGCAAUGUACUUUUGUUACACUCUUUACAUACUCAAAGAGUCUUUAGUGCUUGGAUGCACUUUAGAGACUUGCGCAACACGAAGGAUCAAAGCUUAGCACUGGGCGAUCUGAUCAAGACUUUCUCUGGUGGUAGUAAUCUGGACAGUGAGAUUUUGCAAAUGGAAGAACUGAUUCGACAGUGCUUUCCUCUUGACAUCUACACGUACAAUUUGUUGUUGAGAAAACUAACCAUAAGUGAAAUGGAUCUUGCUUGCAAUUACUUUGAGAGAUUAUGUAAGAGAGGAUAUGAGCCAAAUCGAUGGACUUACGAUAUAUUAGUUCACGGCUUCUUAAAAGUUGGCCGGAAUUCUGAGGCUAGAAGAUGGAUGGAAGAAAUGUUCAGAAAAGGUUUUGAUCUGACUGAGGCUACAAAGACAUUUGUUUAAACUAUACUGUGAAUCUCAGUCUAGAUGGAAUGGGAUUCCUCAUUCAGGUUGGUCUGGUUGGCUGUGAUUACUGAUGUGGCUGUCUGGACGUAAGUUGGUGGCACAUGAAACAUAAAUAAAAAUACCAGUGCAUUUGAAGAUGGAGUACUGUAGGCUGUCCUUAUUCCUACAGAGAUAUGGGGCCAGGCUGGAAAAGUUAUCUGGAUUUAAUGCAUGAGUCGGAUGAUGAUGAUGAUGAUCUAGUGAGAGAGGACAGAUUUUCCUCAUCAGUCUAUUAAGAUUUCCAGGGCACGUAGAAAGGUGUUUUCUUCACAUGGUUGGCAGCUAGGGGAGUGAUCCUAACAGCAGAGAACUUGAGGAAGAGAAGGAUUACCUAUGUUAGUUGGUGCUACAUGUGCAGAUGUUCCGGAGAAGAUGUAGAUCACCUUUUAUUGCAUGACGUGGCUGAGCGAUUAUGGGUGGUGGCCCUAAACUGGCUCGGCAUAUCAUGGGUGAUGCCCGGCACAGUGAAGGAGACGAUGUAUAGUUGGGCAUUCAGGAGGAGGAAGAGAAGACAGAGGCUUACGUUGCUCCGUUAGCCAUUUCGUGGGUUCUUUGGAGAGAGAGAAACAUAGAGCUGUUGAAGGAGUUGCUAGUGAUUUUGUUAAGCUGCAAAAUAGUGUCUUGUUUUUAAUUUUCUUUUGGUGCACCCAUGAAGUGCCUACGUGCAUCGAGGAUUGGUGUUCUAUAGGGAACCAUAUUUUGAUGCAGGUUCUCUUCUUUUGGUAUACGGCUUGUAUACGGGAUUUUCCCAUCAUUUAUAAAAUUGUUUACCUUAUCCAAAAAUGCAUGAGUCAGUGAAGUAGCCAUUAUAAGGGAUGCCAUGUCCUGUGCUCUGAGUGAUCUUAAAGGUAGAGAAGCAGUAAACAUGGAGAAAAACCUCAACGGUGUGAUGCCAACUGAUUAACAAGCUUACCUGCUUCAGGUUUGAAACCAUUUGAUUUGAGAUGUUUUAAGACAUACUUUUAGCUUUUUUUUUUUUAGAUUUGAGAUGAUCCUAUUCUUGUAGAAUUCUGGUGUAUAUGGUUUUGUCAUAUAAUUCUUAUUCUGUUGAUCAUGUCUUUCUAAAUGCAUCCAUUUGCAAAAUAUGGUUGGGUAUUGUUGUUAUCUCCAACUCAGUUUGAUUGCUACUAGAGCUUGAAAAGUUUCAGAAUAGCAAUAAUUAAUAUUCCCUAUUUUCUCCAAUUUGUAAUGGACACAAUGUUUAAGAAAGAAAAAGAAGAUUUUUUCACAAUUAAUUAGAUGUGGAUAAUAUACCAUAAGUACUUCCACACCCAAUACUUUGUCUUUGUAACCAGUAGACCUACGACAAGCAUGUCAAUUUUAAAAUGGGAACAAAAACGUAACUGGUUUGUAAUUGUAGAAAGAUGCCAAUGUUUGGCUGGGAAAAAUGGAAAUAGUGCUAAAUAAAUUAAGAUGGAGGGAGUAAUAAUAGUGAGUUAUCAUAAUCAUUUAUUUUUGUGGAGGAGUGCAUGCUAAGAAGUUAACAAGUGAUUAUGCAUCAUAGCUUCAUCAUAUUAUCAUUGUUAUCACCAUCAUCAUUAUUGUUAUGUUUUUAGAGGUUCUGCAUAAGUGCACAUUUAAGAGCCUUUGAGUGUGGUACACAUCAUUCCUGCACUAUGAUUGUGGUUGUCGUCUCUCGUCUUCAAGCGAUGAUGUCCUUUUUCACCUGCUUAGCAGUUUAUAAAUUUGGACUUUAAGCUGCUUUGCAGGCCAUCCAUACCGAUUGCCAAGUUCCUUCCACUUCUACAGGUUAGCAAUAUGAGUAUGGCAACUAUUGGGGCCAAUAUCAGCAAUUCACUCAGUGGAUGGAUCACAAAAAUGAUCCCGUUCUUUUGCUGUUUCUGAUACAAAAUAAACUUUCUCAGAGUCAUGUGGUGAUCAGACUUUUCCCAAACCUAUCAACAUACCACUUCCCUACUCAAGAUGGUCCAAAAGUUAGUGAAGACUGUGAAGUCCUUGAGGAGAACGGAUAUAGUUUCACUUUAUUUGACAGUUCUUGCUAGUUUAUAUUUUCAUAGGAGCUUGUAAGAUUCUUCAGUGGAGUUUUUCAGGCACCAUCUUAUGCAGCUAGUUUUCUAGAUGGUUUUCUAGUACGUACGGAAAUUGUCAGGGACCAGCAAACAUGAUGGUUAAAGGAUGAUAUUCUGUUAUAUAUUGUUGCAGAAUCCUUUAAAAGCUUCACUAUCUAUUAUCAUGUAGCUACUUGUGCAGAGGGUGGCCCGAUAAAGGAGAGAGGACCCGGAAAAUUGGAAAGACGACUGCUCUACUUUUAUCCAUUUCACCUUUUCUUGAGGUAGUCAACUUUAUAGAAAUGUGGAAGGUGCCCUGGUACAUAUCAAUGAAGUGAGUUGAGAACCAUGAGGUCUCAGGUUCAAAUCUCAGCAGAGACAAAAACAGUAGGCAAUUUCUUUCCAUCUGUUCUCUAGCCUUAGUGGAUAGAGUUACCUGUUACCUGUUGCUGGUGGCAAGUAUCCCGUGGAAUUAGUCGAGGUGAGCGUAAGCUGGCCUGGACACCACGGUUAUCAAGAAAAAAGGGCACUAGAGUUUUACUAUUAGUUUCAGGUAUUUUUACAUCUUGGAGGUCAUCAAGACAUAUGUCGGCCUUUAUUUUGAUGAACUAACUCUACAAAAUUUGGAGUAUUUCAGAUGAGAUAAUUUGACAUAGAAUACUGAUUAUUUAUUGCAGCAGAUGGGAUGUUUCUUUGUGCUUUUGGGUCUGAGAGAGCCUGACUUUGUUCACUGUCCCAGCUUGUACUUUGACAUUAAAAGUAGUUCAUUUAGGCAACUCCCAUCCCCUUGGUGCUCUAUUUAUUUUGUAAUUUGAUUAUAAUGUUGUUGACAUAGGUCCAUUUUGUUAAUGAAGCUCGAGUUUGAAUCGUUCA